GCACAUAAUUUUAGUUCGGGCUUUUAAUUUCGGUGCAGUCGGAUGCAAUUGGAGAAGUGCGUAUUAAAACUCCUCAUAAACGCUAAAGAUGAGCAAAUCAUAUCGGAAAUUGUUAUUAAUCGUGAAAUUUGUGUGUCAUUUAACAUAGUGUAAAGAAAUAUCCAUGAAAUGUUAGUUAUUUUUACAACAAAUUAAGUGUUUAAUGUUGCAGCAGCCUCUUGCUUUAUAAAUGUUGGCCUCUGCUGCCUACCAUUCCAACGUGGUGAAUUGUUAAAUGUAAACAAAGCAAAUGCUUGGUGUGUUCUUAUUUAUUUUUUUUUUUUUUUUGUAAUGUGCGCUAAUAAGCGUGUGUGUGUGAAAGUGUGUGAAAAAAAUGGUAGAAAUAAUUGCUAUUGCGUGGUGAACAAACAAUCUGAUUGAGAUCAACGAAAAAUGGGCAUAGAAGAACAGCAACUACAAGACAUUUUAAGAGAAGAGAGGGCAUGAAAUGCCCGAAUUUUGCGAUGAGUGAAGCGACAAUUUACACCAACAUGGACUACAGAUGCAAAAACUUCUACAUUGGCUUUUAAUGCCAGAAUUAUGUAAUACAGGUAAUUUGCAGCACAUUUACAAUGACAAAAGUUAUAUGCAAAAUAUUCCAACCAGAAGUUAUGAAAUUCGACUUGUGCCAAAUCGCUCCGAGUGGAAAAAAUUUACCAACCUUAUCAUUAAUGAUUCGACUUAUCAAACCAUUAACAAAUCUGAAAGUUUGGAUAGCAAUUGGUAUGCUGACCCCUAGACGUUUGGUGCCACUUAACGGUAGUUGGGAUAUUUGUGAUUUUUUUGCAAAUCGAAAGAAAAUGCGUGCAAUGGGCCGCCUGUAUGACUAUAUAGCCCCUUUUACCAACAUAAAUCACAAGUGCCCGUAUAAUCAUGAUCUAUAUUUGAAAAAUCUUACUUCUGACACUGGACCAAAAUUAUUUGUUUUUAUUAAUGGUGACUAUUCGACUAAAGUUACCGCUGUGGUGGAUGGGCGAAAACUAUGUUCCAUAGAAGUUAUAUCCACCUACAUACAAUGAGUUAUAAAAUCGUGAAGAUAUAUUGGUAUUGCCUCGAAACUAUUUGGAAUUGUUGUUGGAAUUAUAUGUAAUGUUUGUACUUGUAUAUGUAAACAAUCUGUUGUAUGUUUAUAUUGAUGG
rnacentral:sRNA from 1 species